rnacentral:rRNA from 1 species
GACACGACUCUCGGCAAUGGAUAUCUCGGCUCUUGCAUCGAUGAAGAGCGCAGCGAAAUGCGAUACGUGGUGCGAAUUGCAGAAUCCCGCGAACCAUCGAGUCUUUGAACGCAAGUUGCGCCCGAGGCCACCCGGCCGAGGGCACGUCCGCCUGGGCGUCAAGC